CUGCAUGUUUUGGCCUCAGGCCAUGGUCAGCCACUCUAUUUACCGUAAGAGUGGACUUUCAAAAACAUGCUAGAUAAACACUUCAAACGUACGGGAGUUAACAGGGCCACCAGUCCUCAAGGUCAGACUGAGUGGUAGUAUAAUACUCCCACAUUC